rnacentral:rRNA from 1 species
AUACGUAGGGGGCGAGCGUUGUCCGGAAUGAUUGGGCGUAAAGGGCGCGUAGGCGGCGCGGUAAGUCUGGAGUGAAAGUCCUGCUUUCAAGGUGGGAAUUGCUUUGGAUACUGCCGCGCUUGAGUGCAGGAGGGGUUAUCGGAAUUCCCGGUGUAGCGGUGAAAUGCGUAGAGAUCGGGAGGAACACCAGUGGCGAAGGCGGGUAACUGGACUGCAACUGACGCUGAGGCGCGAAAGUGUGGGGAGCAAACAGGAUUAGAUACCCUGGUAGUCCACACUGUAAACGAUGAAUGCUAGGUGUAGGGGGUAUCGACCCCUUCUGUGCCGCAGUCAACACAAUAAGCAUUCCGCCUGGGGAGUACGGCCGCAAGGUUGAAACUCAAAUGAAUUGACGGGG